rnacentral:tRNA from 2 species
ACAGUUAUAGUAUAAGUUAUUACUUUACAUUUUCAUUGUAAAAAUGAACAUUAGGUUCUAACAGUU